GAUGAAGAACGCAGCGAAAUGCGAUAAGUAGUGUGAAUUGCAGAAUUCAGUGAAUCAUCGAAUCUUUGAACGCACAUUGCGCCCUUUGGUAUUCCUUAGGGCAUGCCUGUUCGAGCGUCAUUUGAAACCUCAAGCUCAGCUUGGUGUUGGGUGUCUGUCCCCGCCUCACCGCGGGGACUCGCCUCAAAAUCAUUGGCGGCCGGUACGUUGGCUUCGAGCGCAGCAGAAACGCGAACUCGAGGCCCGGCGGAUCGGCGACCAGAAGUCACUUCUUCACAGUUUGACCUCGGAUCAGGUAGGGAUACCCGCUGAACUUAAGCAUAUCAAUAAGCGGAGGA
rnacentral:misc_RNA from 1 species